rnacentral:lncRNA from 1 species
UGCAAGACUGGGAGCUUCCAAAAGAGAGUUACAAGAGCAAACAUGGCAAUACAAACAUAAAAAAAGACGUCAAAACAAUAAUAUGCUUGCAUCAACAGGACUGCUGUUCCAAAAGAGAGCAAGGUUCUCGUAAAUAUUUGAGGUUCAGUAGGAAAUAGCAAUACCUCAGAUAAAAGAUAAUUAAUAGCUCUGUUCUUUAUUUGGUAGGCUUUUUCGGUUUCCGCUUAGACCUUCUCCUGAAAAACAUUAAAAAAACCAUGUUAAAACAAAAAGAUUGUUACUUCACCGCAGCAAUGCAGGGAGUGUGAAUUAUAGUACUUCACAGUGUUCUUUCUUUCCCGCUGUAUUAGAAGAAUAACAACAGCAUUUUAUAUGGUUAAAUCUCGGAAAAGGUCCAAGUCAUUGUUCAAAAGAUACCUUUUGGGGGGUUUGCUGGAAUUCAAUACACCCUUUGUCAAUAAAUUUACAUCCAUAACCCGUUCUUGCCUGAUUUUAUCAUGGUAUAUCUUGCUCCCAAUCUCACUUAUUUGUUCCUCAACCUCUUCCAGUGUCUGGUCUACAUUGAGCUGUAGCUCCCUUUUCCUGAUGACUGUUACACUACAGUCAUUUUGCUUUGGCUUCCCGAAAAGCAUCCUACAGAAGGUAACCGUUAAAGGAGAGAUGACAAAGCUCCCAGAAGAUACUUUUAGAUUUCAACUUUUAAUUCAUAACAAAACAGAAUCUGAAACGUAGAUGAUAGCAGUUUAAGUAUGGGGUGCCAACACACACAUGUUUUCAGUGUAGGAAUAUUUGAGGGUAAAAAGAAAAGAUCAAGUGAUUGGACCAAUUUAGAAGGCCUCCUAUGUUUUGCCUUAUAAAUCCUUUUCUAUAAUAGAUAAGCAUGACCAUCUCACUUUGUAAAGGGAGACACCUUUCACCUAGGAAGCUCAGAUAUCUCUAAAAAACUGGAGUAUAGGUGUUCGACGCGUCUGGGAUACUGACAUGCUUGGACACGUCCGGAACAUGUGAAAAUAUGUGUUCAAUAUAUAUUUUUUUUAUUCAGACACUUUGGGGACUCGUGUGGGGGUGUUAAUGCAAUUUUUAAAAUUUAAAAUGGGGUCAAAGUGAAAAGGUAAUAAAAUAUUGGGUUAAUAGUGUGAUUUUAGCUUAAAAUCAAACUUAAUCGUGUCUGAUUUUACAAAAACAAUGUUGGCUAUGAAUCGCUAAAAUAUGUGUGUGUGUGUGUAUAUAUUCAACGUAUCCCCGACAUCUGACACGUCUGUGUUCUAGUUUUUUGAAAAAUUGUGUAUCCACGUAUUCGUAUCGUGUCCAUGUCCCGUAUUCAUAUCCUUGCUUCUUAGCCUUUCACAUAUUGUGUCAUAAAAUUCCAAUAUGCAAAGAAAGUAGGCAGUCAAUUUGAUUACUAAUGCAUGUCUAGACACAUUCAACAUACAAAAUAAUUCCUAAGCGAAGUUACACUAGAAGCAAAUAUUAGAUCUGAGUUAGUCUGUUUCUUCAUUUGGGUUGAAUGUUAUAAAGUCAUUGUCCAAUCAGUUUUCAACACAUGGACUGCAAAUACUUGAUUAUGAGAAGUCCUUGGAACAUCAAUUACCUAAUUAUGAGAAGUAGGUCGAAACAUACUUGAAACAUAAAUUAUUGUUAAUAUAAAAGUAGAAAAACUACCUAUUACCUUUGGUGGUUGUGCAACAACAAAUGCUUUGCCACUUCCAAGCAUCUCCAUAUGAGCCUGUAUAAUAUAGCAAAGAUUCUUGCAAUCAGCAGGGUCUUCAAAAGCAAUCACAUGAUAUUGCUUUGGAUCCAGUUCAAGAUCUGCCGCCAUCUCUAAUGAAUAUAAUCCUAUCUUUAGUUCCUCAUUUUCAUGUGUAUAAUUCUAUACACUGGAAAAUGAAAACAGAGAAAUGAGUCAUUCAGCAUUCAUUACAUAAAUGUAGAACAAGUCAUAUAAGUGCUGAGGUGCUGAUUCACCUAAAAAUGAGAAUAGUGUGCAGUGGAGUCCUUAACAGACAUAAAACACAUGCAAACAAGUACAUUUAAACAGAAGCAUAUAAACAUGGAGUAAGCAUAUAUAGACACACCAAUAUUUCUAUAAGAUAAAAAUUAUAUGAAGACGACCAGAACAUAAAACAGUUAUAUCACAGAAAAAUCAAAAGAAAAGAUAGGACCAAAAGACACAGCUUAAAGCACAUGGAACGUGGUAGAAGAGACUAGGUACGCAUUUACGAGCACAAGGUACUAUUUAUCAGUACUGCCCCCUAAGGAAGGAAAAAAAAGAACUGGAAGCUCUGGAUUAACGAAGUAUAGGAGACAGGGUAUGUAUUUACCAGUACAUAGGGAAGAUCUAGCCACCACAAGUAAUCUUCUAGCUUCUCUUCUGCAUAUUCCAGAUACUUGCUCAUAACAGCUUGUGGUCCAAACAGUUCCAUCUCUCUUUUGACCUUGCUAAGCCUCUUUUCAAGGAAUUGCUGUCCCCUCUUAGGUAAUUUACCCAUCAGAUCACCUG